AUUGAACGCUGGCGGCAGGCCUAACACAUGCAAGUCGAGCGAGCGGCGGACGGGUGAGUAAUGUAUGGGGACUGCCCGAUAGAGGGGGAUAACUACUGGAAACGGUGGCUAAUACCGCAUACUAUCGGAUAACCCAUAUGGGAUUAGCUAGUAGGUGGGGUAAAGGCGCACCUAGGCGACGAUCUCUAGCUGGUCUGAGAGGAUGAUCAGCCACACUGGGACUGAGACACGGCCCAGACUCCUACGGAGGCAGCAGUGGGGAAUAUUGGGCAAUGGGCGAAAGCCUGAUGCAGCCAUGCCGCGUGUGUGAAGAAGGCCUUAGGGUUGUAAAGUACUUUCAGCGGAGAAGCGUUACCCACAGAGGAAGCAACGGCUAACUCCGUGCCAGCAGCCGCGGUAAUUC
rnacentral:rRNA from 1 species